GACGAACGCUGGCGGCGUGCUUAACACAUGCAAGUCGAGCGGUAAGGCCCUUCGGGGUACACGAGUGGCGAACGGGUGAGUAACACGUGGGUGAUCUGCCCUGCACUUCGGGAUAAGCCUGGGAAACUGGGUCUAAUACCGGAUAGGACCCUGGGAUGCAUGUCCUGGGGUGGAAAGCUUUUGCGGUGUGGGAUGGGCCCGCGGCCUAUCAGCUUGUUGGUGGGGUGAUGGCCUACCAAGGCGACGACGGGUAGCCGGCCUGAGAGGGUGACCGGCCACACUGGGACUGAGAUACGGCCCAGACUCCUACGGGAGGCAGCAGUGGGGAAUAUUGCACAAUGGGCGCAAGCCUGAUGCAGCGACGCCGCGUGAGGGAUGACGGCCUUCGGGUUGUAAACCUCUUUUAGUAGGGAAGAAGCGAAAGUGACGGUACCUGCAGAAAAAGCACCGGCUAACUACGUGCCAGCCGCCGCCGUAA
rnacentral:rRNA from 1 species